GGAGAGGUGGCAGAGCGGUUGAUUGUGGCAGUCUCGAAAACUGUUGAGGGUAACACCUCCGGGGGUUCGAAUCCCCCCCUCUCCGCCA
rnacentral:tRNA from 1 species